AGCGAACGCUGGCGGCAGGCCUAACACAUGCAAGUCGAACGAACCUUUCGGGGUUAGUGGCGGACGGGUGAGUAACACGUGGGAACGUGCCUUUAGGUUCGGAAUAACUCAGGGAAACUUGUGCUAAUACCGAAUGUGCCCUUCGGGGGAAAGAUUUAUCGCCUUUAGAGCGGCCCGCGUCUGAUUAGCUAGUUGGUUGAGGUAAUGGCUCACCAAGGCGACGAUCAGUAGCUAGUCUGAGAGGAUGAUCAGCCACAUUGGGACUGAGACACGGCCCAAACUCCUACGGGAGGCAGCAGUGGGGAAUCUUGCGCAAUGGGCGAAAGCCUGACGCAGCCAUGCCGCGUGAAUGAUGAAGGUCUUAGGAUUGUAAAAUUCUUUCACCGGGGACGAUAAUGACGGUACCCGGAGAAGAAGCCCCGGCUAACUUCGUG
rnacentral:rRNA from 1 species